UGAGGCCCUGUGGAUAAAAUAAACAAGUAAAGAAAAAUGCCUUCUGGGGCUGGAGAGAUGGCUAAGCAGCCAAAAGCACUGGGUUUGAUUUCUAUCACAACCACUUGUAAUUCCAGUCCCAGGGGACCCAAAACCUUCUCUGGCCUCUGUGAGGACACUAGGCACAAACUUGGUGCACAGAUAUAAUAUGCAGGCAAAACACCCAUGCUUAUAAAAUAAGAAUAAAGGGAAUACUUGGGAGGCAGAGGCAGGUGGAUCUCUGUAAGUUUGAGGCCAACCUGGUCUACAUAGUCAAUGCCAGGACAGCCAGGGCGACAUAGUGAGACUCUGUCUCAAACAACAACAAAAGAAAAAAGGAAAACGUUUUGAGUUGGAACUUCCUCUAACAGCCUGCUUUUUUUUUUUUUCUUUUUUUUUUUUUUCCAUUUAAGACAAUUGACUUUGUCUCCUUGGAUCCUUAGGCUGUGUGCCUAUGGGCAAUUCAUUUAACCAUUCUGUCUGUCAGUGGCUUCCCCUGUAACAGAGUAUCUCACAUCAUUUAUCACCUUCUCCACAAGUUGUGGUAAGAACAAAUAUACUUUAAAAAUUACAUGUACACAUUUAGUUGGUUUGCACGUGGGAGGGACUCAGUUGUGCCAUAGAGCGUGCAUGUGUGGAAGGCAGAGGAUAGCUUGCAGGAAUCUGUUCUCGGCUUCUGCCCUGUGAGUACUGGUGGUCAAACUCAGGUCUUCAGACUUGGUGCCAAGUCCCUUCAUCCACUAAAUCUGGCCAGCCUCAUAUUUUGUUUCUGUGCCCAGCUCCUGACACAGCUCUUAAAAACCAAAGAAUUUCCAUUUGUUUUUUGUUGUUGUUGAUCCUAAGAAACCACCUUAAUCACUGAGUUUAUCGUAAUGAGGCAGAGCGUGGGCGCCAUUACCCACACUCCCUACAAACCUCCAGCGGCCGAGACCACCCCUCCCUACCACUGAGCCCACCAUACCAUCACCUCCUUGGCUCCUCAGGUUACUCGGUAUUCCAUCACAAUAGACUCUCUGAUGUAAGCUGGCUGUAGUGUCAUGUGAUGUAAGCCUCCAGGCCUGGAGGCUGACCGCAGGAUGAUUGAAAGUUCAAGGCCAGCCUGGUCUAAGAGUUCAGAUCAUCCAUUAAAAAAACAAAGGCAAACAAAACCAACACUGACAUAGAGUCUGGGCAUUUGUGGGAUGUUAGACUAGAUCUGCAUGGUUUCUGAAACUUGUAUUAGUCUGCUUAGGCUGUCCUAGCAAAAUACCACAUUCUGAAUGGCUGAAAUAAUCAAAAUGUAUUCUCUCACAGUUCUGAGGCCAGAAGUUGAAGAUCAAAGUUCUGGUCAGUGCGGUUUCUGCGAAGGACUCACUCUCUCCCCGUGGUGUUUCCUGAGAGCGUGCACUGACUGAAGGCAGGUGGAGAGAGCGCCUUGAGCUCUCUCAUCUUAAAGGACACAUAGGGACUGGCGGCCCACGUCUUUCAUCUCAGCACUUGGGAGACAGAGGCAGGCAGAUCUCCACGAGUUAGAGGCUACAUAGACUCUUGGAGCUGUGAAGGUGGUUCAGUGGGUUCUCUACAUAGCCCUGGCUGUCAUGGAACUCAUGAGGCUGGUCUUGAAUUUACAAAGAAACACUUGCCUCUGCCCGCCAAGAGCUGGGAUCCAAGGGGUACACCACCGUGCUGGACCAAUGCUCUUAAUCCUUGUGGUUGCUUACAUGAUGUAUCCUCUCUUCCCAGGCCUCCACGUGGCUCUUCCCACAUCUCGCUUUCAGCUUAUGACAUCAUUUUCUUCCCACUUAGAAUAAAGAAAUCAGAAAAUAGUCCUUAUCCAACACCAAAAAUACCUACUUCCCUUGGGCAGACCCACACAUGAUGUCUUCCCUCCAUGUGCUGUGAAUGGACCAUCCAUGCGUCUGUCUGUGGCCAGCCCCUCCCCUUGUACAGGAUUCUCUUCCCCUUUUGCUUAUUCCAGGCAUCACUCCGGCAAUUACCCUCUCAUCUGCAUCAUCAAAUGUUCUCUCUCAAGGGGAUUGUUCUCAUCAGCAUACUAAUGGGAUAUAAAAACUCAUCUUCAAAAAAACCUUCCAUUCCCCCUCAUUCACGUCACCAUUUGUCUGCUAACCACGCUUAACCACAGUUUAAAAAUAUCUAUACUGAGCAUGGUGAUGCUCACCUUUAAUCUCAGCACUUGGGAGACAGAGGCAGGUGGAUCUCUGUGAGUUCCAGGCUAGUCGGGACAACACAUAGAAACCCUAUUUCAAACAAACAACAACAGCCAAUUUAUACUGGGGGUGGGGGUACUGGACAGAUGGCUCAGAACACAGAGGGACUCUUGCAAAGGACCUGGGUUUGAUUCCCCGCACCCACAUCCUGUGGCUCCCAACUCCAGCUCCAGGAAGAUCUGAUGUCCCUGUGAUCUGUGAGCACCUGCACACAUGCGCAAACACACACACACA